rnacentral:miRNA from 12 species
AUAUUAGGUAUAUACCUUAUACCUAAUAUGCCUUAUAUAUGUGUGUGUGUGUGUGUGUGUGUGUAUAUAUAUAUAUAUAAACACACACA